rnacentral:lncRNA from 1 species
CUUGGCUUAGAUUGUUGACAACAUGUAAACUAUAUUUAGUCUCCAAAUGUUAAUUGAAAACAUACAUAUAUUUGCACAAUGGGCAUUUGUUGUCUCAAAUACAUCGUUACAGUUGUUGGUUAGCUAGCUAGCUAAUUUUAUCCAUAUUAGCGUUGACAUGAAAUCAGUCAAAACACCUCAAAACAAGACAUGGCAUCAAGAAUAAGACAAACCUAGCUGAAACGAACAAUCCACCUACGAUUCCCCACAUGGCAGCUUGUUGUCAUUGCUGCUAGCUGACCGUUCAGAAUCAUAACAACGCACAGCUUCUGACCCCAUCGAUGCGCGCAUCAUUUUCCUGACUUUGUCUGCCAACUCGUCUAUGGGAAGUGAUCUGUCGACCUGUGUGGAGGUAGAUACAUACAAACCGUCUGACCCGUCUUACCGCCUCAUUUGUCAUCUCCCUUCACUGGCUGUGUGAGCGGUAGCUGACAGACGGGGUAUAAGCCUGGCCUGUCUGGUGUUGAGAGCCGGGCUUUCCACGCUGAAUAGAGAAACUAUGCACCAACGCCGGAGGAAAACAUGUAACGACACACACUGGCACACUCCCCCACUGAGAGCUGCUUUAGAGAGCAGGUCCUGUUGCAUGUCGUCGACAUCCACUGAAGAGCUGCAUGGGUAGAGACAAACGCAG